GCCAGGCAUGGUGGUGCAUGCCUGUAGUCCCAGCUAGUCAGGAGUCUGAGGCGGGAGGAUAGCUUGAGCCCAGGAGGUCGGGGCUGCAGUGAGCUAUGAUAAUACCACUGCACUCCAGCCUGGGCGACAGAGUGAGACUCUGUCUCUU
ensembl:misc_RNA Metazoa_SRP Metazoan signal recognition particle RNA